AGGGUAGUUUGACUGGGGCGGUAGCCUCCUAAAAGGUAAC
rnacentral:rRNA from 11 species